rnacentral:rRNA from 1 species
UACAGAGGGGGCUAGCGUUGUUCGGAAUUACUGGGCGUAAAGCGUGCGCAGGCGGUUUUGUAAGCCAGAUGUGAAAGCCCCGGGCUCAACCUGGGAAUGGCAUUUGGGACUGCAAGGCUUGAGUGCGGCAGAGGAGACUGGAAUUCCACGUGUAGCAGUGAAAUGCGUAGAGAUGUGGAGGAACACCGAUGGCGAAGGCAGCCCCCUGGGUUAACACUGACGCUCAGGCACGAAAGCGUGGGGAGCAAACAGG